UACGAAGGGGGCUAGCGUUGUUCGGAAUCACUGGGCGUAAAGCGCACGUAGGCGGAUCUUUAAGUCAGGGGUGAAAUCCCGAGGCUCAACCUCGGAACUGCCUUUGAUACUGGGAGUCGCGUAGUCCGGGAGAGGUGAGUGGAACUGCGAGUGUAGAGGUGAAAUUCGUAGAUAUUCGCAAGAACACCAGUGGCGAAGGCGGCUCACUGGCCCGGACUGACGCUGAGGUGCGAAAGCGUGGGGAGCAAACAGG
rnacentral:rRNA from 1 species